rnacentral:rRNA from 1 species
GACGAACGCUGGCGGCGUGCUUAACACAUGCAAGUCGAACGAUGAUGCUGGAGCUUGCUCCAGUUGAUUAGUGGCGAACGGGUGAGUAACACGUGAGCAAUCCGCCCUUGACUCUGGGAUAACUGCGGGAAACUGUAGCUAAUACCGGAUACUUUCACCGGGGGGCAUCCUCUGGUGAUGAAAGAAUUUCGGUCAAGGAUGAGCUCGCGGCCUAUCAGCUUGUUGGUGAGGUAACGGCUCACCAAGGCGACGACGGGUAACCGGCCUGAGAGGGUGACCGGUCACACUGGGACUGAGACACGGCCCAGACUCUUACGGGAGGCAGCAGUGGGGAAUAUUGCACAAUGGGCGCAAGCCUGAUGCAGCAACGCCGCGUGAGGGAUGAAGGCCUUCGGGUUGUAAACCUCUUUUAGCAGGGAAGAAGCGAAAGUGACGGUACCUGCGGAAAAAGCACCGGCUAACUACGUGCCAGCCGCCGCGGUAA